GAUGAACGCUAGCGGCAGGCCUAACACAUGCAAGUCGAGGGGCAGCACGGGUAGCAAUAUCUGGUGGCGACCGGCGCACGGGUGCGUAACACGUAUACAAUCUGCCUUUUACAGGGGAAUAGCCCGGAGAAAUUCGGAUUAAUGCCCCAUAAUAGAUUGACUGGCCUCAGUUGAUUUUGAAAGCUCCGGCGGUAAAAGAUGAGUAUGCGCAUGAUUAGCUAGUUGGUAGUGUAACGGACUACCAAGGCGACGAUCAUUAGGGGAUCUGAGAGGACUACCCCCCACACUGGUACUGAGACACGGACCAGACUCCUACGGGAAGCAGCAGUAAGGAAUAUUGGUCAAUGGAGGCAACUCUGAACCAGCCAUGCCGCGCGCAGGAUGAAUGCCCUAUGGGUAGUAAACUGCUUUUAUACGGGAGAAAACCCGGGUACGUGUACCCGGUUGAUAGUACUGUAAGAAUAAGGAUCGGCUAACUUCGUGCCAGCAGCCGCGGUAACAC
rnacentral:rRNA from 1 species